CCCGGCGCGGCCACGUUCGGCUGGGGCGGCAGGCGGGCGGGCGCGGCAACGAGCGGCGGCAGCAGCGGGGCCAUGGGGGAGCGGAGCGGGACGGAGCUCUGACAGCACCCGGUGCGCGGCCAAGCGGAGCGGGCACAGCGGCUCGGGAGGGCGGGCCCACACCCAGCUCGGAGCGGAACAUGUUCGCCAAGGGGAAAGGCUCGGCCGUGCCCUCGGACGGGCAGGCGCGGGAGAAGCUGGCCCUGUACGUCUAUGAGUAUCUGCUGCACGUGGGAGCACAGAAAUCCGCUCAGACCUUCCUGUCCGAGAUCCGGUGGGAGAAGAACAUCACGCUGGGAGAACCGCCCGGCUUCCUGCACUCCUGGUGGUGCGUGUUCUGGGACCUGUACUGCGCGGCCCCCGAGCGCCGAGACACUUGCGAGCAUUCGAGCGAAGCGAAAGCCUUCCAUGACUAUAGCGCAGCUGCCGCCCCGAGUCCCGUGCUUGGAAACAUUCCCCCGAACGACGGGAUGCCCGGGGGCCCCAUCCCGCCAGGUUUCUUCCAGGGACCGCCUGGUUCACAGCCCUCGCCACACGCACAGCCUCCACCCCACAACCCUAACAGCAUGAUGGGACCCCACAGUCAGCCUUUCAUGUCACCACGCUACGCAGGAGGUCCCCGGCCCCCCAUCCGGAUGGGAAACCAGCCUCCGGGGGCCGUUCCUGGUACACAGCCAUUGCUGCCCAAUUCGAUGGAUCCCACGCGACAGCAAGGGCACCCGAACAUGGGCGGACCCAUGCAAAGGAUGAAUCCUCCGCGAGGGAUGGGCCCCAUGGGUCCCGGUCCGCAGACUGAUCCUUGGUUAUCGUUGCAGAACUAUGGCAGCGGCAUGAGACCUCCGCCCAACUCCUUAGGCCCCGGCAUGCCCGGAAUUAACAUGGGGCCAGGAGCUGGCAGACCAUGGCCCAACCCCAGCAGUGCUAACUCAAUCCCAUACUCUUCUUCAUCGCCUGGUACAUAUGUGGGUCCUCCAGGAGGUGGAGGGCCACCAGGAACACCCAUCAUGCCUAGCCCAGCAGGUGGGAGCCCACACCCCUCCCUGGGGCCGGCCCUGUUCCCCCCCCCCCCUGCUGGGCUUUGGGGGGAGCGCGGUGCCACAGCUGCAGGGGAGGAGCUGCAGCUCGGCUGUGGCUGCUCCUUCUCCUCCUGCAUUUUGAUGAGGAGCCCUGACCUACAUUUCUGGCUGGGUCCUUACAAAACUCGCUGACCUCGCAGCCAGGCCCCUCCCUCCUGCCCCUGUAUUUUGGGAUAAUCCUGUAUGCGUUCAGAGUCGAUGCUUCUUGGUAUGGGUCGGUGGCUGCACGUUCUCUCUCUGCACAUCCCCCGACAAGUGAGCCCCGCGCUUCGUGAUUCAACAAAUUCAAGUGACAACAUCUACACAAUGAUUAAUCCAGUACCGCCCGCAGGCAGUCGAUCGAAUUUCCCGAUGGGCCCUGGCUCUGACGGCCCCAUGGGUGGCAUGGGUGGCAUGGAGCCCCAUCACAUGAAUGGAUCGUUAGGGUCAGGAGACAUAGAUGGACUUCCAAAAAAUUCUCCAAACAACAUAAGUGGCAUUAGCAAUCCCCCGGGCACUCCAAGAGACGACGGGGAGCUGGGAGGCAACUUUCUCCAUUCCUUCCAAAACGACAAUUAUUCCCCCAGCAUGACGAUGAGUGUGUGAUUUCCCUCCCCCUCCUCCUCUCCAGGAUCAAGAGAGUCAGCUGCCGUUCAGAGGAUCUCAAAGAAUUAUGCAAGAAGAAGCUAGGUGUAUGGGCAGGGAGACGCGUGGCGGGGCCAGCACCCCCAAGGUUUAGUUUCAUGCAAUAAAAAGGCUGAACUUUUUAUUCCAUAAAACAUGAAGGACAAAACUUAAAAUAUUUCAAGACAUGAUGACAAGAUCCUUCUUUGUGCAGAAGGGUUUAUAUAUGUACAUGACACUUCUUUUUGGAAACAAAUGGAAGCCUCUAGCACCCAACUCCGAUCUCUUUGCUUUGUUCUUUUAAAUAAAGACAGAAACAGAACCCCGUUGUAUGUUUGUGCCGUGCGACACCAGGAAGCUAGUCUAGAUAUGGAACCUCAUGUUGUCUCUGUUGUAGUCAUUUUUUAAAUAAACUGGACAGUUUACAAUGGUGGUUUUCGUUCGGAAGGCCUGGUUGGUUUUGUUUUUUGUUUUUUGUUUCUUGGUUUUGUGUUUGUUUUUUGCUUUGGUUUUGUUUCCGUUGCUGUUUUUCCUCCUUUUUUUGUUCCAUUUUUGGGUUCUUUUUGUGCUCGUUGGCAGCACUUCGCUUCCUCCUCCAGUGACGAGAUGAAGAGACUCCACCACCUCGUGAUAAAGGCACUAACACAGGUGGCCCCGUAGGAUCACAUCCUUGGUUCGCUGUGAUCUCCCUCCCCGUGGCUGUGGCAUGCACUGUGUUAGUCCGUCCCCCCUCCCCAGAGUACGCCAAGAACUCUGUCCCUCCCUUCCUCCAGCUGGUUCACCACUAUCACCUCUUUGACUUGUUCAAUCCACCGAAAGAAAGGAGAAGGAAAGGGCCGCUCCGCCCUGGGACUUUGAAGCUGUGAUCUCAGCCAACCUCGGUUCUUUUUUAUUGGGGGGUGGGGAAAGGGAUUUUUUUGCUCGGUCUUUUUUGCUUUGUUAUCCCUUUAAAGAUGUUCUCUUGUCGGGGUUUCACUUCUCUGUGGGUCGGAACUGGAUGGAGAUCUUUUCGAAGCAGUUAACCGUUGUUGCGAUGUAUCCUUGCUACUCUGUACGCUGUCAUAAGGACGCAGCAGGAAGGGGCCCCGUGCUGGGGGUGUGGGGGUGGGGAAUGGGGGGGGGUUACCGUGCAGCCCCCCCCUGCGCUGCUCUUCGUUUCUCUCAAUCUCCAUUUCUGCUCCGUGUAUAUCAUACUAUGUAAAAUAUGAUCUCCCUGGAUUGACCCUUGUGCGGAUUAUUGAAAGCAUUGUAUCUUGUUUCAGUGUUUUUUCUUACCUUGUAGUCUGGUUCUAAAAUACCGAGAGGG